rnacentral:rRNA from 1 species
GGUUAAGCGACUAAGCGUACACGGUGGAUGCCCUGGCAGUCAGAGGCGAUGAAGGACGUGCUAAUCUGCGAAAAGCGUCGGUAAGGUGAUAUGAACCGUUACAGCCGGCGAUGUCCGAAUGGGGAAACCCAGUGUGAUUCGUCACACUAUCGUUAACUGAAUACAUAGGUUAACGAGGCGAACCGGGGGAACUGAAACAUCUAAGUACCCCGAGGAAAAGAAAUCAACCGAGAUUCCCCCAGUAGCGGCGAGCGAACGGGGAGCAGCCCAGAGUCUGAAUCAGCUUGUGUGUUAGUGGAACGGUCUGGAAAGUCCGACGGUACAGGGUGAUAGUCCCGUACACCAAAAUGCACAGGCUGUGAACUCGAAGAGUAGGGCGGGACACGUGGUAUCCUGUCUGAAUAUGGGGGGACCAUCCUCCAAGGCUAAAUACUCCUGACUGACCGAUAGUGAACCAGUACCGUGAGGGAAAGGCGAAAAGAACCCCGGCGAGGGGAGUGAAAAAGAACCUGAAACCGUGUACGUACAAGCAGUGGGAGCACCUUCGGGUGUGACUGCGUACCUUUUGUAUAAUGGGUCAGCGACUUAUAUUCUGUAGCAAGGUUAACCGUAUAGGGGAGCCGCAGGGAAACCGAGUCUUAACUGGGCGUUAAGUUGCAGGGUAUAGACCCGAAACCCGGUGAUCUAGCCAUGGGCAGGUUGAAGGUUGGGUAACACUAACUGGAGGACCGAACCGACUAAUGUUGAAAAAUUAGCGGAUGACUUGUGGCUGGGGGUGAAAGGCCAAUCAAACCGGGAGAUAGCUGGUUCUCCCCGAAAGCUAUUUAGGUAGCGCCUCGUGAACUCAUCUUCGGGGGUAGAGCACUGUUUCGGCUAGGGGGUCAUCCCGACUUACCAACCCGAUGCAAACUACGAAUACCGAAGAAUGUUAUCACGGGAGACACACGGCGGGUGCUAACGUCCGUCGUGAAGAGGGAAACAACCCAGACCGCCAGCUAAGGUCCCAAAGUCAUGGUUAAGUGGGAAACGAUGUGGGAAGGCACAGACAGCCAGGAUGUUGGCUUAGAAGCAGCCAUCAUUUAAAGAAAGCGUAAUAGCUCACUGGUCGAGUCGGCCUGCGCGGAAGAUGUAACGGGGCUAAACCAUGCACCGAAGCUGCGGCAGCGACACUAUGUGUUGUUGGGUAGGGGAGCGUUCUGUAAGCCUGCGAAGGUGUGCUGUGAGGCAUGCUGGAGGUAUCAGAAGUGCGAAUGCUGACAUAAGUAACGAUAAAGCGGGUGAAAAGCCCGCUCGCCGGAAGACCAAGGGUUCCUGUCCAACGUUAAUCGGGGCAGGGUGAGUCGACCCCUAAGGCGAGGCCGAAAGGCGUAGUCGAUGGGAAACAGGUUAAUAUUCCUGUACUUGGUGUUACUGCGAAGGGGGGACGGAGAAGGCUAUGUUAGCCGGGCGACGGUUGUCCCGGUUUAAGCAUGUAGGCUGGUUAUCCAGGCAAAUCCGGAUAAUCAAGGCUGAGGUGUGAUGACGAGGCACUACGGUGCUGAAGUAACAAAUGCCCUGCUUCCAGGAAAAGCCUCUAAGCAUCAGGUAACAUCAAAUCGUACCCCAAACCGACACAGGUGGUCAGGUAGAGAAUACCAAGGCGCUUGAGAGAACUCGGGUGAAGGAACUAGGCAAAAUGGUGCCGUAACUUCGGGAGAAGGCACGCUGGUGUGUAGGUGAAGUCCCUGCGGAUGGAGCUGAGACCAGUCGAAGAUACCAGCUGGCUGCAACUGUUUAUUAAAAACACAGCACUGUGCAAACACGAAAGUGGACGUAUACGGUGUGACGCCUGCCCGGUGCCGGAAGGUUAAUUGAUGGGGUUAUCCGUAAGGAGAAGCUCUUGAUCGAAGCCCCGGUAAACGGCGGCCGUAACUAUAACGGUCCUAAGGUAGCGAAAUUCCUUGUCGGGUAAGUUCCGACCUGCACGAAUGGCGUAAUGAUGGCCAGGCUGUCUCCACCCGAGACUCAGUGAAAUUGAACUCGCUGUGAAGAUGCAGUGUACCCGCGGCAAGACGGAAAGACCCCGUGAACCUUUACUAUAGCUUGACACUGAACAUUGAGCCUUGAUGUGUAGGAUAGGUGGGAGGCUUUGAAGCGUGGACGCCAGUCUGCGUGGAGCCAACCUUGAAAUACCACCCUUUAAUGUUUGAUGUUCUAACGUUGGCCCCUUACCGGGGUUGCGGACAGUGUCUGGUGGGUAGUUUGACUGGGGCGGUCUCCUCCCAAAGCGUAACGGAGGAGCACGAAGGUUAGCUAAUCCUGGUCGGACAUCAGGAGGUUAGUGCAAUGGCAUAAGCUAGCUUGACUGCGAGCGUGACGGCGCGAGCAGGUGCGAAAGCAGGUCAUAGUGAUCCGGUGGUUCUGAAUGGAAGGGCCAUCGCUCAACGGAUAAAAGGUACUCCGGGGAUAACAGGCUGAUACCGCCCAAGAGUUCAUAUCGACGGCGGUGUUUGGCACCUCGAUGUCGGCUCAUCACAUCCUGGGGCUGAAGUAGGUCCCAAGGGUAUGGCUGUUCGCCAUUUAAAGUGGUACGCGAGCUGGGUUUAGAACGUCGUGAGACAGUUCGGUCCCUAUCUGCCGUGGGCGCUGGAGAAUUGAGGGGGGCUGCUCCUAGUACGAGAGGACCGGAGUGGACGCAUCACUGGUGUUCGGGUUGUCAUGCCAAUGGCACUGCCCGGUAGCUAAAUGCGGAAGAGAUAAGUGCUGAAAGCAUCUAAGCACGAAACUUGCCCCGAGAUGAGUUCUCCCUGAGACUUUAAGUCUCCUGAAGGAACGUUAAAGACGAUGACGUUGAUAGGCCGGGUGUGUAAGCGCAGCGAUGCGUUGAGCUAACCGGUACUAAUGAACCGUGAGGCUUAACCUU